rnacentral:lncRNA from 1 species
CCUGCAGUGUUAAAAAGAAACAUUUUAUUGCAAGAGAUUACAAACCCGGCACUAUGGCCAAAUGUUUCCAUUACAUCACAAUUGCUACCCAUGUAUCAGGCAACAGCACCUACAAAGCAUGGUGGAUUGAAAUAUCUGAAAUCAUAAUGCAGUCAAGCUUCUUAAAGUAAGUACCACCCUAAAAAGUUUGGGGUUUUUCUUUAAACAAAACUAUAUAAAUCAAUUUUUAAAAUAUGAAACUGGCGUUUAAAUAUCCAGGCCACUAACUACUGGUAUAAAAAGUGGAAAAGUCUGUUAACCAUAGUGCUGAACUAAAAAGGGUUUGUUCACAGCCCAUAACCAUUUAGUUAAAAGCAAGUACUUGUUAUUCACUGCUAAUGCUUCCACAUUUAUUCAGCCUAAUUUAUCUUCUGUAGGUUUUCAGAAUCAGGUAGAUUUAAUGCAUAACUCCUCUUUAAAGCACUGCAGGAAACCUAGAACCAUAACUAUCCCAGGAAAAGCAUCGCAGCCAAAACAGCAUUGCCUUUUCCCAUCUCAGUCCUGUGACACUGACCUUUAGAAACUUUGGAUGCUCUUCUCUGAGCCCCAAUUCAUAACUCGUAAGUGAUCACUUACCUCAAAGAGCUUGAUUUCCCUGAGCAUGGCUGAAACAGCAGGAAUUAGCACAGGCACACAGCUCAAACACAGCCCACCUGGCCCAGCACACCCGACUGGCAGUGCCCACCUUGGGCACGGCCGCGCUCGCUCUCCCUCCCCAGCAGCUACCCACACCUGGUCAGUCCUUCCUCUCCCAGUGGGAGCAGCCAGCAGCUCAUUUCCUGACACUGCUGCCUGGGGAAGAAGUUGGAUCUGGGGGCAGAGCUGGGCCCCCUCAGCCCGUGGGAGCAGCCCACCUCCCACAGCUGCCCCAGCCCCAUGAAGCAGUAGCGGGCAAACCGCAGUGAAUGCCCAGCACGUGUUGUCUGCUCGCCUCCAUUUCCUGUGAGCCCAGCCUGAAGACACUACAGCUUGGCAGCAGCUACCAUGGGCACUUCAAAUUCAUCAUCUAUCCAAGGUUCUGCAGAAACAUCUUCUCAAGGAAUGCAAACAGAGUUUUAAUUUUUGAAAGAGGAUUCAGAAAUAUCAUUGGGGCUACAGAACACAGGCCAUCACCUUAUGUAUGGGGGUGGUCUUCUACAGUUUUCCUGAGGCCACUAUUAAAGAGACCUUUACCAGAAACUAGGUUAACUUCAGAAACAAGUAGGACUGUGAUAAAGAACCAAAAUCCACCAAAUAAAAAUCACGUGCCACUGUAG